GAACAACAAAAAUGAAAAAAAAGUACCAUGUUGGGACAACUUGUAGGUAAUUUAUGUCAUAGGGUUUUUAUCGGAGCAAUAUUAAAAAUUGAUUUGAAAAAAUACCAGCUAUUGUGAAAUUGACACUAUUCGAAAUAUCGUGUUGCACACUAUUAAUUGCUCAUUAAAAAGUAAUAUUUUUUUUAUUUUUGCGAACAAAAAAUAAUAAUUUUAUUCAUCAUUUUUGUAAAACUUACUUAAAUUUGCGCUUGCUCUGCUGGAACGCGUUUGCGCAAUGUGCAACAUAUACAUAUUUUCUGUUGUUGUUGGUGGUUCAAAAAGUAUUUUCUGUAAGUUCAUGGUGUUUGUUCUAUUGUGAAUUGUGAUUAUCGGUACUGCGAUAAAUUCAGAAUAGUGUAGUAAAUACCGUUUUGUCAAGAAAACAGUACUAAUUCUACAUAACCUCACUUCUACAAGCAAUGGAGAAAAUGCAAUUUCUCAACACAAACAAAAUGAUGAAUGUCCGGGCGCAACCAAAAAAAAGAAGAAAUCCAGUUAGAAAUUGCGGGAGAUACGCAGAAAUUGAAUGAAUUGGAAGAGAAGAUGUAAAAAAACAUUUUUCAGGGCAAGGAAAAAAUAAGCUCUCUUUUAGUGAACUCACAAUUAACAAGGCUACAAUAUGUAAAGUACCACACGGAAACGUCACAAAAACUGCUGAAAUUUAAAAAAUGGUAGGACCUCAUUAAGCGCAGACAAAAGCAAGAGUGAAUUCUCAUCGAAAAAAACAGGAGGUAUGAUUUUUUUUAUUUUAAUUAAUUAUAUCGCUUUUCAAUGAAUCGGUUAUAGAGCAAAUAAUUAUUAAAUAAAUAUUUCUGUAUAAUGAUUGAAAUGUAGCAGAACAUUGUUAUUUCCAUUGACAAUGUAUUUUUAUUUCAUUGUAAGUUGGCAGUGUAUUUUUAUGUUUAAAAAAUUUAUAUUGUGUUUCACAUCAGGUGAUUUUUUAAAUUUCUGCCCAUGAAGCUUAUGCCAGCAGUUUCAGUUUCACUGCUGACAUAUGCAGUGAAACUGAAAAAAAAGCAGAAAUUAAAAAAAAAUCACCCGGUACAAAUUUUCAACGAAUUGGUUCUAGGACAAAUAAUUUUUAAAUGUAUAAAUAUUGCCGCAACGUUUCAAAUACACUGUUAUUUCCAGUGACAAUGUAUUUUUGUAUUUAAUAAAUAUUAUAUUGUAUUCC